UACAGAGACUGCAAGCGUUAUUCGGAUUCACUGGGCGUAAAGGGUGCGUAGGCGGCCAAGUGUGUCAGGUGUGAAAUCCCGAGGCUUAACCUCGGAACUGCGCCUGAAACUACUUGGCUAGAGUACUGGAGAGGGUAACGGAAUUCACGGUGUAGCAGUGAAAUGCGUAGAUAUCGUGAGGAACACCAGAGGCGAAGGCGGUUACCUGGACAGUUACUGACGCUCAGGCACGAAAGCGUGGGGAGCAAAAGGG
rnacentral:rRNA from 1 species